CACGUAGGGUGCGAGCGUUGUCCGGAAUUAUUGGGCGUAAAGAGCUCGUAGGCGGUGUGUCGCGUCGGCCGUGAAAACCUGCAGCUUAACUGUGGGCUUGCGGUCGAUACGGGCAUCACUGGAGUUCGGCAGGGGAGACUGGAAUUCCUGGUGUAGCGGUGGAAUGCGCAGAUAUCAGGAGGAACGCCGGUGGCGAAGGCGGGUCUCUGGGCAGUAACUGACGCUGAGGAGCGAAAGCGUGGGGAGCGAACAGG
rnacentral:rRNA from 1 species